CGAACGUUAGCGGCGCGCCUAACACAUGCAAGUCGCACGAGAAAGGGAGCAAUCCCCGGUACAGUGGCGCACGGGUGAGUAACACGUAGAUGACCUUCCUGGAGUGGUGGAUAACCUGCCGAAAGGCGGGCUAAUACAGCAUGGGACCACAUGGUUUUGACCGAGUGGUGAAAGCGGGCCUCUGUUCACAAGCUCGCGCUCUGGGAUGGGUCUGCGUCCCAUCAGCUAGUUGGUGAGGUAAUGGCUCACCAAGGCAUCGACGGGUAGCUGGUCUGAGAGGAUGACCAGCCACACUGGAACUGAGACACGGUCCAGACUCCUACGGGAGGCAGCAGUGGGGAAUCUUGCGCAAUGGGCGAAAGCCUGACGCAGCGACGCCGCGUGGGUGAUGAAGGCCUUCGGGUUGUAAAGCCCUGUGGGGAGGAACGAACCGUACGGGGGCGAACACCCUCCGUACCUGACGGUACCUCCUUAGCAAGCAUCGGCUAACUCUGUG
rnacentral:rRNA from 1 species